GCCCGCAUGGCUCAGUGGUAGAGCGUGUCACUAGUAACCAAGGUCACAUGACAAGGUCGUCAGUUCGAUUCUGGCUGUGGGCA